rfam:Trichomonas vaginalis G3, whole genome shotgun sequence.
GCAUCUGUGGUCUAAUCGGAUAGGAUUCUGCUCUCCGGAAGCAGGGAUUACGGGUUCAAGUCCUGUCAGAUGCG